GGGAGGUACGGUGUCGGAUUAUUGGGCGUAAGGGCUCGCAGGCGGUUUCUUAAGUCUGAUGUGAAAGCCCCCGGCUCAACCGGGGAGGGUCAUUGGAAACUGGGGAACUUGAGUGCAGAAGAGGAGAGUGGAAUUCCACGUGUAGCGGUGAAAUGCGUAGAGAUGUGGAGGAACACCAGUGGCGAAGGCGACUCUCUGGUCUGUAACUGACGCUGAGGAGCGAAAGCGUGGGGAGCGAACAGGAUUAGAUACCCUGGUAGUCCACGCCGUAAACGAUGAGUGCUAAGUGUUAGGGGGUUUCCGCCCCUUAGUGCUGCAGCUAACGCAUUAAGCACUCCGCCUGGGGAGUACGGUCGCAAGACUGAAACUCAAAGGAAUUGACGGGGGCCCGCACAAGCGGUGGAGCAUGUGGUUUAAUUCGAAGCAACGCGAAGAACCUUACCAGGUCUUGACAUCCUCUGACAAUCCUAGAGAUAGGACGUCCCCUUCGGGGGCAGAGUGACAGGUGGUGCAUGGUUGUCGUCAGCUCGUGUCGUGAGAUGUUGGGUUAAGUCCCGCAACGAGCGCAACCCUUGAUCUUAGUUGCCAGCAUUCAGUUGGGCACUCUAAGGUGACUGCCGGUGACAAACCGGAGGAAGGUGGGGAUGACGUCAAAUCAUCAUGCCCCUUAUGACCUGGGCUACACACGUGCUACAAUGGACAGAACAAAGGGCAGCGAAACCGCGAGGUUAAGCCAAUCCCACAAAUCUGUUCUCAGUUCGGAUCGCAGUCUGCAACUCGACUGCGUGAAGCUGGAAUCGCUAGUAAUCGCGGAUCACAUGCCCGGGGGGAAAAUACUUUCCCGGGGCCUUGUACACACCGCCCGUCACACCACGAAGAGUUUGUAACACCCGAAGUUCGGUGAGGUAACCUUUAUGGAGCCAGCCGCCGAAGGUGGGACAGAUGAUUGGGGUGAUCAAAAAAAAAGCACCCCAAAAAACAUAUAAAAAAGAAAAAAUAAAGAAAGG
rnacentral:rRNA from 1 species